GUUUGUGCUGGAUACCACAUUAAGAAGUGCUCAAGAAACCCAAGUCCUAGACCUGAGGAAUCUCACUGCUCUGUCUUGUGGAGGGCAACGUGAUUGAGGCAACAGAAUUUCAGCCAAUGUACGGAAAAAAGCUGUUCACCAGUCUUGCGGUUUGUGGAUGAGGACAAGAACUCAUUGAUCUGUACGCUGGAGGGAAUGCUCUGAUCACUGGAAUUUGAAAAUGUGUUGAGUGAUGACACUGUGAAACGAACAGGCGUUCCAGCCAGCAGGCAGUCCUGGAGGAUGGUGUCAUAGCCCUGCAGUAGGCAAAGGUGCAUGCUAAGGCUGGGGAGGAAGAUUAAGUCUGAAGUGCUGCUUUUUUGGCUCCUCCUUCUCUCAUUUCUGCUCUGACUGCUUAGUGGGUUCAUCCAAAAUCCUGCUCCUGAAGAAGAGAUUGGUUGGUGUUUACAGAACAGAAUUGACCACACCUGAAACCAACCACUGAAAGGACGUUGGCUAAUGUGGAACUGUUUCAAGAACUUUGACAACACAGAUGGUUCAAACACAGUCAGGAAAUCACAACUCUGCAGUGAGGAACUGGAUGUUGCCUUUAUACAAUUUACUUCUGGAGGACACAGUAACACCUGAGAAUAAUGACUGCUGAAGAAAAACACCUUCUGAGUUCUUCAGCUGUGGCUUU